rnacentral:lncRNA from 1 species
AGAGACUGGCGAAUCUGGCAACCCCGGCCCGCCCGGAGAGCCCGGUACCGGAGGCGGUAAAGGUGAGACUGGAGAGAAAGGAGAGACUGGGCCCCCGGGAGCAGCUGGACCAGCGGGAGGACGAGGACCAGCCGGAGAUGACGGCUCCAAAGGAAACCCUGGCCCGGUUGGAUUCCCCGGAGACCCUGGUCCCCCUGGUGAGCCUGGCGUUGCUGGUCUGGAUGGUCUGUCUGGCGACAAGGGAGACGAUGGAGAAGCCGGACAGCCUGUGAGUUUUAUUUGUUAUACAUUUUUAAUUACGCACAUUUGUAUUCAUACUGACA